GUCAAAAGUGCAUGCAGAAGGGAACUUCCUUUUGGGGAAUGUCUGCAAAGAAAAGCAUUCCUUUUUCCUUACGAAGUCUGACUUGGAGAACUUCCCCCUUCCUCUACUCACAUGUAAUUGCAAUAGCAGGGAUCUCAGGCAUCUUAGGAGCCUUGGGUCCUGGGAGUUGUGACUGAGGAGAAGCAGAGCCAUAAUUGCGUCUGGUGACAGCCCAUGUAAAAAUCUGACUUGCUAUGACAUAUUCCACCAACACUCUCUACCUUCUGCUGGCUGAGAAGACAGGGAAAGGAAUGACGGUUUGCCCUGCUGCCCUUUUCCUUCUGGGUCAUCAUUUCCGGUGUGGCUAACAGGGAUAUAACAUGAGUAAGAAAAGA